AUUGAACGCCGGCGGCAGGCCUAACACAAGCAAGUCGAGCGGUAGCACAGAGAGCUUGCUCUCGGGUGACGAGCGGCGGACGGGUGAGUAAUGUCUGGGAAACUGCCUGAUGGAGGGGGAUAACUACUGGAAACGGUAGCUAAUACCGCAUAACGUCGCAAGACCAAAGUGGGGGACCUUCGGGCCUCAUGCCAUCAGAUGUGCCCAGAUGGGAUUAGCUAGUAGGUGGGGUAACGGCUCACCUAGGCGACGAUCCCUAGCUGGUCUGAGAGGAUGACCAGCCACACUGGAACUGAGACACGGUCCAGACUCCUACGGGAGGCAGCAGUGGGGAAUACUGCACAAUGGGCGCAAGCCUGAUGCAGCCAUGCCGCGUGUGUGAAGAAGGCCUUCGGGUUGUAAAGCACUUUCAGCGGGGAGGAAGGCGGUGAGGUUAAUAACCUCAUCGAUUGACGUUACCCGCAGAAGAAGCACUGGCUAACUCCGUGCCAGCCGCCGCCGUAAUAC
rnacentral:rRNA from 1 species